rnacentral:tRNA from 1 species
GCUUUCUUAGCUCAGCUAGUAGAGCGCAUGGCUUUUAACUAUGUGGUCUUCCCUUCAUUCUACUCUGGCAGAGAGUG